UUGGAGGGCAAGUCUGGUGCCAGCAGCCGCGGUAAUUCCAGCUCCAAUAGCGUAUAUUAAAGUUGUUGCAGUUAAAAAGCUCGUAGUUGAAUUUCGGGAUCAAUAUACCGGUCGUGCCAUUGGUACGUACUGGUAUCAUUGGUUUCUCCUUUCUGACGAACCAUGAUGUCAUUAAUUUGGUGUUAUGGGAAGUUAGGACUGUUACUUUGAAAAAAUUAGAGUGUUUAAAGCAGGCUUUAGCUUGAAUACAUUAGCAUGGAAUAAUGAAAUAGGACGUUCGAACCUAUUUUGUUGGUUUCUAGGAUCAACGUAAUGAUUAAUAGGGAUAGUUGGGGGCAUUAGUAUUCAAUUGUCAGAGGUGAAAUUCUUGGAUUUAUUGAAGACUAACUACUGCGAAAGCAUUUGCCAAGGAUGUUUUCAUUACUCAAGAACGAAAGUUAGGGGAUCGAAGACGAUCAGAUACCGUCGUAGUCUUAACCAUAAACUAUGCCCGACUAGGGAUCGGAUGAUGUUAAUUUUUUAAUGACUCAUUCGGCGGCCUUACGGGGAAAC
rnacentral:rRNA from 1 species